GGCUGCAGAAGAUGCGGAGAGCUUGGACGGAGUCCGCAGGGUCUGCUGCGUGCAUGUGCUGUCGGGUGUUUCCCUUUCUUCGCUCGUUUUUGAUUCCGGUCCCAAGAACCGCUUGAUUUCUAGUCUUUUUGGCUGCGGGUAUCCCGCCAGGGCUCUCGCUCUCUCCGCACAUGUUCCUAGGGCGCCAUCUCUUUGCAAAAAGCCUCCGUCCUCUCGCAGGUCUCCCAGAGGCUGCUCCGGGGCGUGUGAACAUCGCAGGCUGCAGCGCGAUUCAACCUGCGGAGCCCAGCAUGCGUCCCAGCCCCCCGCGCGUCCCCGGGCCACCGCUCCUGGUAGAGGAGCUCUCGGGCUCCGCAGCCGGGCAGCGCUUUUUGCUCGAGGUCACUUGCCCUGGCUCAGCGUGGCCCCAGCUUUCCGGGAGGAAAGGACGUGAACCUAACUUUUGCAGAGGUUUUAGGACCCGGAAGAUACAAUGUUCACUAAACUCUUCCAGCAGUGGAGUUUCGCAGUGUUCCUGCUGAGUUACUCCGUGCCCUCCUGCGGGAGAUCAGUGGAGGGGAUCAGCCGCCGACCAAACGGGCUGUAUCAGAGCACCAGCUACUGCAUGACAAGGGCAAGUCAAUCCAAGAUCUACGAAGAAGAAUAUUCCUUCAAAAUUUAAUUGAAGGUGUCAACACUGCAGAAAUCCGUGCAACGUCAGAAGUUUCACCUAACCCUAAGCCCGCUACAAACACGAAGAACUACCCUGUCCGAUUUGGCAGUGAAGAUGAGGGCAGAUACCUAACUCAGGAGACAAACAAAUCACAGACCUACAAGGAACAACCCCUGAAGGUAUCGGGCAAGAAAAAGAAAGCAAAGCCUGGAAAACGUAAGGAACAAGAGAAGAAAAAGAGGCGAGCCCGCUCCGCUUGGCUAAAUUCUGACAUGUAUGGAAGCAGCAUGACCGAUAGCCCGCUCUUGGACAACUCUGUUACUACACAUAAUCAUAUUUUAAGGAGGCGCUGAUAUUUUCAGCAAGACAUCUUUGGAAGACGUAUUGCAGUAUUCUGUAAUAGUGAACAUAUGGGAACUAUUAAAAUAUUUAUUACCUGUAAAUAUUGUAAAUGCUCAGAAUAAAACUUUUUUCCCCCAUUGCUCUCUGAAACUGCACAUUUGGUUAUUGUGAUUUUUUUUUUUUUUUUUUGGCUAAUACUAAGACAAUUAUUAUGUCACAUUUACCAUAAUUUAUUUUGUUGACUGGUGUAUUUAUUUGUGAACGUAUCUUGGUGCUGCUGACUUUCUAUAUUUUUUGUAACAUAAUGCACUUUAGAUAUACAUAUCGAGUACAUUGAUAACUGACAUAAAAUGUUCGUGUUUUGUGGUUGACUUCAAUGAAUGCCUAUACACAAUUGUUCAAACUGAUUUUCCUUUGUGCAUGUAUAAUAGCAGUAUUUUAAAAUUUGUAAAGAAUGUCUAAUAAAAUAUAAUCUAA